GUGUCUGGCAAGGUUAAGCAAACGCGAAGCCGUAGCGAAAGCGAGUCUGAAUAGGGCGCUUAGUCAGAUGCUGCAGACCCGAAACGAAGUGAUCUAUCCAUGAGCAAGUUGAAGCUAGUGUAAGAACUAGUGGAGGACUGAACCCAUAGGCGUUGAAAAGCCCCGGGAUGACUUGUGGAUAGGGGUGAAAGGCCAAUCAAACUUCGUGAUAGCUGGUUCUCUCCGAAAUAUAUUUAGGUAUAGCGUUGUGUCGUAAUAUAAGGGGGUAGAGCACUGAAUGGGCUAGGGCAUACACCAAUGUACCAAACCCUAUCAAACUCCGAAUACCUUAUAUGUAAUCACAGCAGUCAGGCGGCGAGUGAUAAAAUCCGUCGUCAAGAGGGAAACAACCCAGACUACCAGCUAAGGUCCCUAAAUCUUACUUAAGUGGAAAACGAUGUGAAGUUACUUAAACAACCAGGAGGUUGGCUUAGAAGCAGCCAUCCUUUAAAGAAAGCGUAAUAGCUCACUGGUCUAGUGAUUUUGCGCGGAAAAUAUAACGGGGCUAAAGUAAGUACCGAAGCUGUAGACUUAGUUUACUAAGUGGUAGGAGAGCGUUCUAUUUGCGUCGAAGGUAUACCGGUAAGGAGUGCUGGAGCGAAUAGAAGUGAGCAUGCAGGCAUGAGUAGCGAUAAUUAAUGUGAGAAUCAUUAACGCCGUAAACCCAAGGUUUCCUACGCGAUGCUCGUCAUCGUAGGGUUAGUCGGGUCCUAAGUCGAGUCCGAAAGGGGUAGACGAUGGCAAAUUGGUUAAUAUUCCAAUACCAACAUUAGUGUGCGAUGGAAGGACGCUUAGGGCUAAGGGGGCUAGCGGAUGGAAGUGCUAGUCUAAGGUCGUAGGAGGUUAUACAGGCAAAUCCGUAUAACAAUACUCCGAGAACUGAAAGGCUUUUUGAAGUCUUCGGAUGGAUAGAAGAACCCCUGAUGCCGUCGAGCCAAGAAAAGUUUCUAAGUUUAGCUAAUGUUGCCCGUACCGUAAACCGACACAGGUGGGUGGGAUGAGUAUUCUAAGGCGCGUGGAAGAACUCUCUUUAAGGAACUCUGCAAAAUAGCACCGUAUCUUCGGUAUAAGGUGUGGUUAGCUUUGUAUUAGGAUUUACUC
rnacentral:rRNA from 1 species